CCUACGGGUGGCAGCAGUGAGGAAUAUUGGUCAAUGGGCGGGAGCCUGAACCAGCCAAGCCGCGUGAGGGAAGAAGGUACAGCGUAUCGUAAACCUCUUUUGUCAGGGAACAAAGGCGGGGACUAGUCCCCGGAUGAGGGUACCUGAAGAAAAAGCAUCGGCUAACUCCGUGCCAGCAGCCGCGGUAAUAUUGAGGAUGCGAGCGUUAUCCGGAUUUAUUGGGUUUAAAGGGUGCGCGGGUGGCCUGGUAAGUCAGCGGUAAAAGCCCGGGGCGUACCCCCGGCGAGCCGUUGAUACUGGCGGGCUAGAGUUGGGGAGAAGGCCGCGGAAUGCGCGGUGUAGCGGUGAAAUGCUUAGAU
rnacentral:rRNA from 1 species